UCUAGUAUUAAGCUUGCAGUUGCGCGAGGGAUGCCAAAUUAUAUGGCAACAUGAUUUCCAAGUUGAGCAAGCUUGAAGACACGGAAGAUAAUGGCCAAAUGAGUCAGACAGUAAACAAGAAGCGUGGGCUCUUAUGGCCACUGUCGGAAAUGGUUAGGAGAUUCUUCACUGCCGAUGGUAGCAAGGGUUUCACGCUGUGGCCUGCGCUGAGGCUAUUGAUCCCGGUAAUAGCAUUGGUUGCAGUUUGUGUGGGUUACUACAUGCACAGCAGUGUUGAAGAGAUAGACUGCACCAACUGUUAGUUGAGCAGGGUAUCUGUGCUUACCUUCUGUCCUUUUUCAGGUGAGUGUUUAUCGUUGUAUAGAUCUGAUGAGUACUACACGUAUUUGUUGGAUGUGUGGGUUGAGGACUUGAGGGCGAAGUAUUCACGUGUACUGUACUGUUAAACUUGGCUUGUCUAAUAGUUGCUUCCACUGUCUAAAAAAGAAAGAUAAUCUUGUUUUUU